CGGAGGAAAAGAAACUAACAAGGAUUCCCCUAGUAACGGCGAGUGAAGAGGGAAGAGCCCAAGAUUGAAAGCUGGCGUCUUCGGCGUCCGCAUUGUAAUCUCAAGAAGUGUUUUCCGCUUCGGACCAUGCCUAAGUCCCUUGGAAAAGGGCAUCAUAGAGGGUGAUAAUCCCGUUCAUGGCAUGGAGCGCCCGAAGCUUUGUGAUACGCUUUCUAAGAGUCGAGUUGUUUGGGAAUGCAGCUCAAAAUGGGUGGUAAAUGCCAUCUAAGGCUAAAUAUUGGGGAGAGACCGAUAGCGAACAAGUACAGUGAUGGAAAGAUGAAAAGAACUUUGAAAAGAGAGUUAAACAGUACGUGAAAUUGCCAAAAGGGAAGGGUAGGAGGUCAGAGAUGCGUCUUGGAAUUCAGCCUUGCUUCUGCUUGGUGUUUUUUCCAUUUUGCAGGCCAACGUCGGUUUUGGGCACUGGAGAAGGGUGGAAGGAACGUGGCACCUCUCGGGGUGUGUUAUAGCCUUCUACUGGAUACAGCGACCGAGACCGAGGACAGCAGCGUACUCGCAAGAGCGGGCCUUCGGGCACCUUUACGCUUAGGGCGUUGGCAUAAUGGCCCUCUACCACCCGU
rnacentral:rRNA from 1 species